UGGGAAUUUUGGACAAUGGGCGAAAGCCUGAUCCAGCAAUGCCGCGUGUGUGAAGAAGGCCUUCGGGUUGUAAAGCACUUUUGUCCGGAAAGAAAUCCUUGGCUCUAAUACAGUCGGGGGAUGACGGUACCGGAAGAAUAAGCACCGGCUAACUACGUGCCAGCAGCCGCGGUAAUACGUAGGGUGCAAGCGUUAAUCGGAAUUACUGGGCGUAAAGCGUGCGCAGGCGGUUUGCUAAGACCGAUGUGAAAUCCCCGGGCUCAACCUGGGAACUGCAUUGGUGACUGGCAGGCUAGAGUAUGGCAGAGGGGGGUAGAAUUCCACGUGUAGCAGUGAAAUGCGUAGAGAUGUGGAGGAAUACCGAUGGCGAAGGCAGCCCCCUGGGCCAAUACUGACGCUCAUGCACGAAAGCGUGGGGAGCAAACAGGAUUAGAUACCCUGGUAGUCCACGCCCUAAAACGAUGUCAACUAGUUGUUGGGGAUUCAUUUCCUUAGUAACGUAGCUAACGCGUGAAGUUGACCGCCUGGGGAGUACGGUCGCAAGAUUAAAACUUAAAUGAAUUGAC
rnacentral:rRNA from 1 species